UGAUGAACGCUGUCGCAGAGUUAUCAGUAGGCCCGUAUAACACUGUUGAGUGACACUUUACAUAUCCGGGCAUUUCUGCAAGGUACGAACCUGAUGACCUGUCACUCGCCUCGCGCAUCGAAAAAGGGGAGACAUUGUGCAAAUGUGAAGCCAACUCACCACAGGGUAGGGACCAGGCCAGAGCCAUCAAAAGGUCUCCCAGGUAGUUGGGGUGGCGGACCACGCCCCACCAGCCAGACACCAGCAGACUCUUUCCUGUAGCUGUGGGGAUCGUCUGCAGAUCUGCAGAGGACAGACAGACAGACAAAGGUUACCACAGCGAUACAGACAUGGCCAAAGAAAUGAAAGGGAAAAAAAGGUGGUUAUCUGGACACCGGUUGGGCACAAAGUACUCCACACAUAUGGAAAAUCAUUCAUUUAUUGACUGUAACUCUAGAGAGCUCACACUUCAGGAAAUUAAUGGCUGGUCCACCUCAGUAAUCUUCCCUUGAAGGUCAAUAAAGAAAUGUUUAGGUCAUUACACAACCAUGACGUAGCAUUAAUCCCACAACAGAACUUACGAGACAGUUUGGGGUCUGAUGGGUUUCUCCUGAAGGCGUUCUUCUCAGAGUUGGACUUCCUGAAGAUGUAGAAGCCAACGACUGAAAGACAGAGACAAAGAGAAAACUCAAACAUCCGACUCAGCUCUAAAGGCUGGGGAAAUAUAUCAACUUUACCUCUUUGGGACUUAACUAUUAGUCUUUAUUUAAUUAAAUGAACCGUGACAUUUGUCAUUGAGUAGCUGUACUUGACCUCAAGAUAAAGUAACAAGAACUAUAGACGGAUGCAGUUAUGUAAUGAAAUAAUGCAGAUGUUGAACAGGGAGGGCCAGUGACUAGUUUGAUGCUCUGCUACUUACGCUUGAGUGCGAUUAUGGCUGCGACAGCGGGGAGGCUCAGGGGGUUGGGGUGGCUGACCAGGUAGUAGGCCUGCAGGGUGUAAGUAAAGGGAACCCAUACCAGAUCACCAAACGCCAGCAUGAAGCCAAAACCAUCGUGCAUCAAGUCCAUGGUGGUCAGGAUGGCCUCCUGAGGAGAAGAAAGAUACAUUCGUCACUCAUUGUUUUCAUGAAAGUAAGAUGGGGCAGAAGUUCAUAUGUUGAUCAUGUGUCAUUGUCUUUUUUUAUUCAUCAAUAUGUUCUAUCAAAUUCCCUCAGAGUGAUAUUUUGGAGAACAGCACAUUUGUUGGCGUGUGCUCUGCUGAGCGUACCUCAUUCCAGAGGCCGUCCACCACGUAGAGCAGCUGGAAGAGGUUCACAAGGAUCAUGGAGUAGGAUGGAGCAUCCAGACGCUGCUGCUUCAUCUCAGCCAGCGCCAUCGCAAAGUUGACCAAACACUGGACGACACACAGAUAAAAUGAAAAAUCAUUACCAAUGUUUCACGUUUCAAAUAUUGAAGAAACAAUGUAGUGCAGGCCUGAUAGACCCAUGUUCACGAGCUGCUAGAAAAUCUGAACUGAAGGUCUGCAUUCCCCCCAUAGCCAUGAGCAAACACAAGGCGCUCAUUCAGCUCAUGCCAUAUGUCUGAGGCUCAAAAUGCAUUCCACAUGUGGCCACCAGAGGGUGCAAUGUGUAUAGAAAAUGACAGGCCCCAUUGAAACAGAUGUGGUAUAAAAGGUACAUGUUUAAAAUAACAUUGUUGCUACUUUCAGUGUAUUUGGCUAUGGAAAUACAAAAGGCCUGUUUUGCUUACAAUAAUAAUAAACUUCGUACUUAAAGUGCUCACUAAAUGUCUUACUGAGACUAAUAUUUGCUUUGGUGUCCCAUGACAACUCACCCAGCCAAUCAGACCGGGGCGCAUCUCGCAGAAGAAUUUCAGGUCAAAUUCUUUGAUGCGUGGAUUGAGCUCAUGUCCUUUGAAGAAGUCAUAGACCACAUUGCCUGGUGAAAUAGAAGAGAAAAGAAAUCAGACAUCAGGAGGCACAACACAAUGUGUCUGAGCAGUGAGAAGGUAACUCUGCACCCCCCCUUACCGGAGCUUCCCCCCAGUGCCAGCUUCUCCGCGGUAGCGUACUGAGAGCGGACAUACAGGUAGACGCUGAGCAGGACGGCGAUGAGGAAGGAGGCCACAGCCAGCUGCAGGAAGUGGCUGUGGAUGUAGGUGAGGUCGACGCCCUGGUGCACCGCUGCUACUGCAACUAGAGAGCUCACCGUGAUGGCGAAGAAACCUGGAGGGACACAGAGCUUUAGAUACAGAUGGGACGGAAGAAAGAUCGACGUGGAAGACAAAAAAACUGAUUAAAACUAAAAAGAAAGUUGAAUGAUAGCAGAAGCAUUGUCUACUCAUGCUCUAAGCCUGUCAGUUAAAGUAACAGAUGAGCCAGCACCUCAAUUUAACAGUCAGUAUUGGUGAAUGCUAGCUGAAUGAAUGACUUGAUUGUGGGUGGGGUUGGAGACAAUGCUCACUUCACACAGCCUCACCAUUGGUUCUGUACUUCAGCCUCUCCCCAGACCGAAGUGGCAUGCCCUCGCUCAGCUAGAGAGGAACAAAAGACAUUUGGAUUAACUGACAUGCAGCUGCUUUUGAGCUAAGAAAGCAGCACGUAGAGCAGGACCUGGAAUAAGAUCCAGAGGAUCACAAGGCCAAAAGCCUGAGCAUCCCAGAAGGCGUCAAGAGGGGGCAGAGGGGGAGGGAAGCUGGUCAGACUGGGGUCCUCCUGGUUGACCUGGAGUACCAGGAAGAGAACCCAGGCCGGCAGGAAGAGCAGCCAGAAGUAUGCUCCUGGAGAAAGGAAAAGACGGUUUGCUGCCUUUGUCUGUUGCUGCCCGUCAAACAAUGGAGGGAGAUUGAUGGAGAUGAAGAGAGACAAAGGGGAGGGGGGGAGAAAGCAACGUGAGGAACAGGCAGAGGGAACGUGACGGGUUCGGGUCAAAAUCCAGGAUUUGCAGAGAGCCAGAAACCCCACAACAACAUGCAGACUCUCCAACAUCACCAGUGCUGAGACAAGAGGAUGAGAAGGCCACUGUGGCACUUACCAGGGGACUCAGCCUGACUUCUAGUGUAUCCUUCAGCCUUGUAUCCCUGCGGGAGGACGGCGGGCCAUCCGUUAGAGCUGCAGCAGCGACAGCCGCCGCCUUGCGGGAGGGCGAGCGCCGCGUGGUCCUUGCUGGGGAGCGGGAGCGGGAGCGGCGGCCUGGAGAUCGAGAUCGAGAGCGAGGGCGGAUCGAGAAAUCUGAAGCAUUCUGAAGGAAAAACAGCAAUUGAGAACAAAAGGAGGGAUUACAACCAAUAAUAACGAGUGUGCCUUGUUUUAUAGGAGAGACAGAAAAGAUAGUCUCAUCUUGUGUAUAAUAUAAUAGCUUCACACAGCAGGGUCGAAAAGAGGUUGUCUGCAAGGCUUGUGCAAUAUAAUGGUAUUCAGAUAUCAAUUAAUCAGAUAUAAAUCGGUCACAAUUUGGGCUCCCCCGCAAUUAAACGACCAUGAUAGACUGCGAUAUUGAAGUUUAGCAUGCGAGCUUUGCUCAUGGAAAACUCAGCUUCAUAUCAAAUCAAGCGCUUCCUACACUUAGAGAUGUUUUGGCUUCACUUUGGAGGAGCCGUCAUGCCGCUGUGUGAGCGCCCUAUGGCGACAGUCUGUGAAAAACUUUCCUGAAUGUUGGAGUUGCAGUCCAGAGUAGAAAAGUAGUAUACCGAUUACAUUACACAUUUUAACCGAGAGCAGACGGUUAAAGAAAGUCUCAUUUUAAUGUAAAGAAUUGUCAAUCAUAAGUAGGAAUAUGGCAAAACAUUGAAAGACAGAGCAGUGCUCUGUUAAUUUAAUUUUGGGUAAAACGUUUUGGUAAAAUGUAAUUUUGCUUCUAGACGAUACACUGUGACUAACAACCGCUUUUAUUUUAAUGCAAAGAUUUCAACAAAACAAAAAGCCUGUUACAUGUUCAGUUUGCUACCUUGAUGUCUUGCUCCCUGAGCUCCAGCUCGGUACCGUCCUUGUAGAUGACGGUGUACAGACUACUUUUGGCAUCGAAGCCCAGCACCUUGACCUCAUAAUACAGGCUGCUGCCAGGCCAGCGGCCCAUGACCAUGUCUCCUCUCUGAUGCCUUACAGCAGGCAUCUUCAGCGACCUGAGAAUAAGUGAGACAAGAGAUGUAGUAUAGUGAGGAGGGAAGAAAGAGACAGAGAGUCAAAUACAGCACACAGAGACGUGAGAGACAAGAACAGGUAGGAAGGGAAGCACAAAAGGAAAGGAGAUAAAAGAUAAUAGUUUCUAGUCUUUCAUCAGAACUGUGUCGGCUGACUUUUGGAUUUUUUUGACAGUAAAAAACAAAAGUAGAGAAGCAAGGUACAUUUUGCAUCACAUGAAUAUGGAAUGUUUUACUUAUUUAUUGAGAAAACUGUCAAUGCAAAGUACAGAGAAGGAUAAAUUGAUACAAUGGCAGGCAUUGUUAUCGAACCCUUUUCUGUUUCCAUACAGUCCAGUGAAGCACAGCAUGAGCUCAAACUUCUACAAUGUCAACUACAGUGGCAUCUCUAAAUCUCAAUGGGCUCAUUGUCACUCACUCUGCCUUAGCAGUUACAUAUUUGACAAACUGCUUUCUGCAUUCACAGUGUAACUACGGCUGGACAAUACAGUUGCCGUAAUUAAUGAAGCAAUGUAGCCGACGAACACAAACUGAAAUAGUCUUAGAAAAACAGCAAUUGUGCAAUUUAUCGUGCGAUUGUACAGAGCAGAUGCUAUUCAAAAAGACACACUAAAGGGCUAGAGAAACCACAGACGAGCUCGCUUUGAGCUGAAAGACGCUCCAGAGCUGAGGAACUGAAGUCGAUGAGACAUUCAAGCAACCCGUUACUACAACAUGCCAAGAGAUGAGUGGGCUUGUUCUGGCCCCUCCCCCAGGCAUUUAGACUACUCUUUAAAAUAAUUCAUGUUGAAAUAUGUUUAAUCCUAGGAGGCCAACAUAAAAAGGUACUGGCACUCUCUCCACAGUCCAUACUGACACACCCCUAGGGGAAUCCCUGAACCUCACAGGAAAAAAAUCAACCGAAUCUUCGUUUCCGAUUUAACUGUUUGCUAAUGUGUGAAACUAAUUUGGCAGACACAUGGUGACGCAUGCAGCAGGGUGAGGUCAUCCUUGAACUAAAAAAAAAACAACAAAAAAAAACAAAAAAAAAAACAGGUUAUACUGAAUUUUUGUCUGCUAACUGCCCUGCUAGUUGUCAGACUGUGAUAAAGAUUCUUCCGCUGUGUCUGCUUCAGCAUUGUUCAGAAAAUUCAACCCUCUCAUAUGGAGGGGUAGAGGGACAAUUUACCACAAAAGGGCUACUUACAUUAGCCUACACUUUAGAAUGGCAAACACCGACUGUAGUGUGCACCACUGGACACAAUGAGGUAGGCCAGGCAAAGUCAGCAUUAUGGAACAUUAGUGACCCGGGAGGCUCAGUGUCUAGAAAACCGCCACACUGCUGCAGAACUGCUGACAGGUCCGUCCCUGCUAGGUUUACCCAAAGCUGUCUGUCUAACAGAGUCAUCCCAUUCAAGUCACAGCCAACCAGGCAAGGCAUUCUAGAUCAGCCACUGUAAAAGUGACAGGAACCUGAGCUGUGGCUGUGGCUGUUAAGUUUGCUAAAUAUUGCAGCCAGUUUGAUGACAACCGUACAAUCUAAAAUGGUUAGAACGGUCGAUCAGUUUUACACCCACCGAGUGGACAAAUACAAUUUUCUUCCAUGCUGCAGAAAGCGACAUCUGAAUGAUUGCCACAUGAAAAAUAAGAAAAUGUAAAGGCAAAUCAUGUUACGCAGCUCAUUCAAAAAAGGUCAAUAUUAACUGAGAUAAAUGGAAGCAAACCCAUGUUUCUGCUAGUCUAAAUCAUUUCCCCAUGCGUCACCUUGCCACUGCCAGCAUGAGAACACAGGGGAAGCAUUACAACAAUGUAUAAAAUGUGUGAUUAGUAGCACCUUAACAAGAAAAGUAAGUUACUGGAAGUGGAGAAAUACUGACUUAUUAGCACAGCACGCUUUGGUUUCAGCAAAGCAAAUUUAGAUCUUUACCUGCGAUGAUUUUAGCCACAUACCCUAAUGACAGCCUCCUGUCAGCAGCAUUACUAAUUCAAAUUCCAGUGGUUAACACAGCACCAUGCUUCAGGAAAUGGCAGGUAGCAUAUAGAAACUGCUUUGAGGUUAGGGUUAGUUGUUUAGGUUGUGCUUUUUUACCCUAAAACGUCCACCUCGGGUGAAAUUAAGCAUGUAUAUCAAACAACUCCUUCAUGUUAAAAGACAAUAAUAGCUAUUAUCUUGACAACAAAGCCACUCAAUCAAACAAUCAAACCCGAUGUGUACCUUAUCUCUUGUAUGCCUUUAUAAACACAAAACAACUCCAGCAGUCCUUCAAGUAAUCGGCUCGUCAGGAUUACAACAAAUAGGUAGAGAGGGUCAAUGUAAGUGGUCAACCCUUAAUCCACUGGUAACUGAUCUAAUCUUGUGAAAAUAAUCAUGAAAAUCCACACCACGUCAGUGAGAAACCACCUCAAUAUGACACACCCGAAGCUCGUCCCCGCCCUGGCUUGCCAGCAGAGUUCCACAUGGGAUGUGAAAGUCAAGGCAGGACCGUGACCGAUGAGAGUUUCCCCAUCAGAUGUGAGGCCGGGCUGAUGAAGAGAUACGGGCUGUCCCGUAGGUGGAGUUUUCACAUAAAUCCCCCCUGUGCAGAAAACUGCUGUUUAGCUCCACCUGGUAUGCAGCCCCUUUGACAGGCACCGUUCAAAUUAAGUUGUAAACACCGACCAUUGAGACGAUAACGUGCUGUAAAACUGUUGACAUUGCAGUGCCGUAUUAUUUACCUUUUAUAGCGGUAGGAUACAUCCGAAUGCUUUCCUUUGGUGAACCAAACAGCAACAACACGGAUUAAACCCAUACAACACAAACUUUAACGUAACUGUCCACGUUAAAGUGCCACCAAAUGUCAGGUUAAUGUAACGUUACUGUUAAGUCGCGAGAGCAACGACCACUAUUUUCUUGUAUUGCGAGGAUACAUUAUCUAAUGUGAACCGUCUAUCUGAGUAAGUAACAUUUACAGUUGAAUGGAAAAUACGUCAAACACGUGAAAUCUUCGUUUGGAUUUAUAUUGUUAGUCUAUUGCGCAACUUUCAGUGAGUUAUCAUUUGGCGUUAAAUUACGGUAAUUACGAAUAAUUUGGAGCACUUUUGUUAAUUGACACUAACGUAUAUAUUUUUUUAAAGUCUGCCUUUUUUACACUGCAGUCAUUCAAUUAAUUAUAUGUUUUGCUGCUUAAUACAAAUGCGAGAUGAAUCUAACAGUAGUUAAUGAUAUCCUUUAGUUUAUACCCCAACUCAGUUCUAAUGUAACGGACCUGUUGCUUUAAAGAAGUGCGCCCCACGUUAGCUCGGUGAACUCAAAGAUAGCCCUCAUGCAGCAGCAAGCGACACAAACGAAGGAGGGAAAACGUCAUGCAUUCAAACGCUGUUGGCGAAGACAACAAACGUCAAAGAAAUAAACCGUGAGCACACGUGUGGAUAAGUUCGACAAACACUCAAUUCAGUGAUGGUAUCCAAGCGAAAGUCUUAAAAACACGAACGUUAAUGUGCAUCUAAAAACCGACUCGGCUAACGUUAGCAUUAUCGUUACUAUUUACUUGUCUUUGAGUGGACAGGCACCGUCUAAUUUCUGGCCAUCACGUCGCUAAUUCUGGAGACGCUUGGGUCCAUAACGGUAACGUUAUAGUUAAAGUCACCUGGACGAAAAACUAUCAAACAUCUCUAAUACAACUCUGAGCCAUGAAGAAGAAUAAGGACUGGCUGAUUACACACAACCUAAUAGUCGCUCCAGCCUUUUAACUUUGACCAUUGGAAACAAGGUAAGAUUCCAGGAACUAGUCGGCGCCUAGUCUCUGUUAACUGCUAAAACCAAAUUUCCCAACAAAGAGAAACGUACAGCGAUUUGCCAUUUUUCAUCACAAGCCUAUGUAUUGAGGCGUACUUACCUUAUUAUUGCAGGAGUAAUUCCAGUGAGUAAAACUGAUAAAAUAUUCCUUGACAAGACGAGGAAAUAAUAAAUUAAGAUUUAUAUUCUAAAAACGGACGGCGAUAACGUUUCACGUAGCGCUCCUUCUCCCUCCCUCUCUGGGCAAAACCCACCAGUGACCAGGAAGGCGCGAAGGCUGCUGAUUGGCUCGUUCAGCGUUCAUUUCAAACGGCUCUGCAAUCUGAUUGGUUAUCGGUGGGUUUUAACUGAGCCAGGAUUGGUUUAGAGGGGGUUACGAUUACUUUGUUUACUGGUUUCAAAUUACCGCCAGGCAAAAUGGCAGAAGUAGCAAAACCAUAUUAAAACUCUUAUCGAUAUAAGAUAGAAACAGUUUGCUUCAUAAUUCCCCUGAUUUUAUUACACAUCCCUUACACUAACACAGCUAUCAUGGAAAUAAUUAUUUCAGAAAUGAACAUAAUGAAUUAACAAAAUAGUAGUCAUAGCAGUAAUAUUAAAAUACUAAGAUUACAUUUUAUAUUAAUGUAAGAUAGAUUGUUCAUAUAUAAUUGUUUAAAAAAAAUGACACAGAGAGGAAGAAAUUCUAUGUUUCUGCCGUUAAACUAUUAUAAAGGUACAAUACGUCUUCUGGAAGACUUGCCAUGCUGUGUUGAUCAAACUCUUAAUACGGAUGUGUUAAAUCACUUUGGACCAGUGUUGCAAUAGACUGCACUUGUGUUGCACUGUGUUCAGAUGUGAUGAGAUAUAUAUAUAUACAUACAC